GUGAAAAAUUGACAUAGAUACUGAGGUAUCAAGUGAAUUUAUAAUUUCAAUUGGCCCAGAUUCCCUGGCUGCCCACUAUAUGAAUUAAAUCAGAAUAUCUAGGGGUGGGGCUCAAUCAUCAUGAUGUUUAAACUCUCCAAGUGAGUCCAAAGUUCAGCCAAAGCUGUAAGAGUGAAUUGUCCAAGGGCCAUUAGAGUCACCUGAUACUUUGCUGGACAUAUAGAAUCUUGGGUUCCAUCUCAGAAUCUGCAUGUUAUAAUUUUAGAAGCACUGCUCUGGAACAGUACUUCUUAAACUUAAACCAUGCAUAAGGACCCCCUGGAAGGCUUGUGAAAACACAGAUUCCUGAGCCCUAUCUCCAGUUACAGAUUCAGCAGGCUUGGGAAGCAGCAGGACAGUUUACAUUUCUAACAAGUUCAUAGGUGCUGCUACUGCUGUAAGUGGGUCCCACAGCGUUGUAGACUUGCUGCUGCUGCUGCUGCUAAGUCGCUUCAGUCGUGUCCGACUCUGUGCGACCCCAGAGACAGCAGGCCACCAGGCUCCCCUGUCCCUGGGAUUCUCCAUGCAAGAACACUGGAGUGGGUUGCCAUUUCCUUCUCCAGGUGUACUUAAUACUGAAGAAUGGGCGGGGGAGGAGCAUCCACAACUCAAAAGGCUAGAAAGGCUCGGAGGCUGUGUGUGGGCAGUGAUUCUUCUCCCAGUGCAGGGUUUGAUGCGAGAACCUCUUCUCUGAGGGCAAGAGUGAGCGGAGUGAGAAGAGGGUUUGAGGGUUUCAGUUACUUCUGAAAAAGAAGCAGCAUCUCUUCAUGUGAGAAGAAAUGAAGUACCACACUGAAGAAGGAUCUCAUUUGCAUGCAUUGCUCUUCCCAGCUCCUGUCCUGUGUACCCUUCAGGUCUUCCCGGGUCCCAGAGGCUGCUCUCCAGGCGGAGGCGCUAGGCUGGGCUCUCCUGCAGCGGGCCCCCCACGCCAGCCCUGCAGACCUGCAGACCCUUGGGAAGGGCCAUGUCCUCCUCCACGCCACCUGUGUCCUCCACGAGUUCCUCGUAGGUACUCCCUAGUCAUUGUUAAAAAUGGAAAAAAAAAGACUUUCAUGUUUCAUUUGGAUAAUACUGAUAAUUUGUUUAAUCAUAUUUAUUAAAUAAGGAUGUAUGAUUUUAAAAGAAUUAAAUAUUCAAAGUAUUUUUAACUGCUACUCUUGGUCUUCCCUGGUGGCUCAGCUGGUAAAGAAUCCACCCGCAAUGCAGGAGACCUGGGUUCAGUCCCUGGGUUGGGAAGAUCCCCUGCAGAAAGGAAUGGCAACCCAUCCAGUAUUCUGGCCUGGAGAAUUCCAUGGACAGAGGAGCCUGGCAGGCUACAGUCCAUGGGGUCACAAAGAGUCAAAAAUGACUGUGCAACUUUCACUUUCACUUUAUUUUCUUUUUUGCUGCCAGAUCUUUAAACAAAGAAGAUGAGAAUUCUUGCACUGAACUAAUAGGAAAUUGGAAAUAUUUUGGAAUCUGUUAUUUUUUCCAUUGGCUGCUUUGUUAAACUGAAAUUAGAGAUAUUUGUAAGACUAAGUUGAAAUAUAAAUUCUGAUUUAUCUGAUGUGUGUUCUAUCAACUUUAGCAAUCCAUAGUAAAGCUUAGUGUACCGAGGAGUUUUAUUAUAUACACAUUACAUUAAAAGUGUGAUAUUUGUACUCUCACAAUAAGUCAGAUAAGGAAUCUUAUGGAUUAUUUUAGACAAAAUUCCCUUGAAAAGGAAAUUCUCAGUGGAUCUUCAAAUAAAUUCAGUUUGAGUGGGAUAUUCUACUAUUUGUGUGACAGAUCUCUGCAAACUUAGUGACUUAAAACAACACAUUUAUUAAAUCCUCAGGCCAGAAGCUGAUCUAACUCUCAGUGAGCGAUAAUUAAAGUUUGGGCACAGCUGCAUUGCUUUCUGGAGUUGUAAGGGAGAACCCAUUUUCUGGCCUUUUCUAGCUUGUAGAGACAUCUUGCAUUCCUUGGUUUGGACUACCUUCCAUCUUCAAAGCCAGCAAUGUCUGAUGGAGUCUUUGUCAGACUGACCCUCCAAACUUGAUCUUUCCCCACUAAGGAUCCUUAUGAUUACACUAGACCCAUUUGGAUAAUUCAGGAUCAUCCUUUUAAGGUCAGUUGAUUAGCAAACUUAAUUCUGCCACUUUAAUUCCCCUUGCCACUGAACAGAAUAUUCACAGCUUCUGGGAACAAGGAUGCAUACAUCUUGAGGGUGGCUGUUAUUUUGCCUAUCAUGGUAGAUUUUAGAAAUCA
ensembl:lncRNA